GGUUGAACAGGCCUGGCUCUGUCGAGAUAACAACAACACUCUAUGAAGCCUAUAGCAGUGAAGGCUAAGUGAGGUUGUUCAGGGAGCUUCACGGUACUCUGGAUUACAUGAUCACACCAGGAGAUACUUUAAUUUCACCAGAAGAAACUACUAGACAUGAAGAAUUAUUUUCCAUUACAAUACAGCUGAGAAAGCCUGAAAAGUGAGAAGAAACAAAACAAAUCAUAAACACCACUGUUUUCAGCGUCCGUUCUUAAUUUAAAAACCUUAAUUAAAACACUUCCUCCUUUCUAAAGCUUUUCUAGGGAAAGCCAUAGAGAUGCCCUCUUGUGUAGACAGAGGAACUGCUUUGUCAGGUCCAUAGACAUCACUGAGCUCUACGUCGGCAAGACCAGCUCAGGGGCACCAGGGAGCAUCAGUCCUGGGCCACACACACCCUCUCACUAGUGUGCAUGACGCACAUUCCCACUUGGCCUCACUGAGGCAAUGCUGUGGGUGUCUCUUUCUAUCAGAAAAAGUUGCCACUAUUCCCAGCCCUGGGCAUUAGAAAGAAAGGCUGCUUUCCAGGAAAGCUCCCUGAGAAUGUGGGAGUCCAUGACACUCACAGGUAGGAAAAAACAAAGAAAUGAAAGUCAGCAUGGUGGUGUGUGCCUUUAAUCUCAGCACCCAAGAGGUAGAGGCAGGCAGAUCUCAGCCUGGUCUACAGAGUGAGUUCCAGGACAGCCAGGUAUGCACAGUGAGACCUUGUUUCAAACAAUCCAAAAAAGAACGAAAUUAAGUUAGCAAUUUCCCCCACAAGCAUCAAUAUAGGGAGAGAUAAACCCUCAUCAAUCUCACACUGAAAAUUCACCAUGAAAGGAUAAGGAUUAAUGCCGGUAGGGGGUGGGCUACCGCUAAAGCCCCCGGAAUCAGGAAAGUCUAGUUUCAGCCCCCAGUGAAGGAAUGGAGAAAAGAGCAAUGGACAUGCCUUCCAGCUAAGAAGUUGCUACGUGUGGUGGCACAGACCAACAAUUCCAGCACUGAAGAGGGGAGGCAGGAGGACCAGAAAGAAGCAGGUUAAGAUCAGUAAGGACAGUGGAAGAGGUGUUCCAUCCUAGGCAUCUGAAUCCGGUCUCUCCUGCUGCGCGGCAGUCAGGGCGAGUACAGUCUAUUCGAACCCAGGAUGCAUACCCGUUCAAAGGGCAAAGGGCACUCCUGAACUCAGCAAACCUUUGAUCUCACUGCCCUUAACUCUGUAGGCAACAGAGGGACAUGAGAACAAAGAAAAGGCCAUGAAGAUGAAGAAAAUGACAAACCCCAGAGAAGGACCUUUUUCUCAAGAAGGCUAAUCACUAUGAAAACGAAAACUGCUAAAGCCAGUGAAUACUAUAUUGCCCUCACAGAGAACUAACAGUCGUAGAGAGAGACCACCCCAAGUUGAUAUUAAGUAAAUAAUGGCCAAAGUCUAUUAAGUAUAAGUGGUGCAUUUAUGGUUUUAGUUAUACUAUUUUCAUUACGUUUGGAGUGGGGGGGAAGGGAGAGGGAGAACCCCCCCAGCAGUAAUACAAACCAUGUAGACACCAAUCUUUUCUGUACAAGUUUCCCCAGGGAAAUAGCUCAGUCAAGUGAAGUGCUUGCCUUGAGAGCAUGAGGUCUUGAGUUUGAUCCCCACAGUCUAUGUAAAAAUGCUAAGUGGAUCCCCGAAUGGCCAGCUAGCUAGUCUAUACUAAGUAGUGACUCACAGGUCAGAUUUCAGUUGUUUCAAAUGAGGUAAAGAUGGCAGUCAAAGUUAUUCCACGGUGUACACACACACCAAAACAAAAACCAAAACCAGGUUUCUUCUUUAAAAAUCACUAACAGGGCUGGGCAGUGUUGGCAAAUGCCUUUAAUACCAGCAUUCAGGAAGCAGAGGCAGGCAGAUCUGUGAGUUCAAGACCAAACUCCAAAGCUCCAGGGGAAAGAGAGAAAAGAAAAGAAAAGAAAAGAAAAAAAAAAAACCCAACAGAUUCCAUGAAGUAUGAGUCCCAAGUAUUGGUGACUUCUACUGCCUGGGGAAUGUUUUGACCAAUGAUGUCCUUUUGUAUCUGUCUUUUCCUUGAAGACACAAGGCGCGGGCAUUUUAAUACAUGUCUUACUUUCCUACCAAAUUAAGGCUUCUAGCAACACCUAGAAGGUCUUGCUCUCCUCAUGGGGAGAGGGCAGAGGGAAUCAGCAUUUGGCUCACUCUUAUGCCUUUUCAUACGUCAAAGGGAGAGGAUCUUGCCUCACACAGCUAAGGGCUAGCAACUCCACAAAACUAUAUUUGUGGUAGUGGCUAAAUUAAACAACAGCUUAAAAAGUCACACUCCUAGUCACGCACUUAACAACCUCCAGCUCCUGAACUCUCCUAUAGCCCCAGAACAGCCUGGCCAAUGCAUUCAUUCUGCUCUGUAGGAACCACAGAACUAAGGACCCUGCUAACUAGCCCAUGCCAGAACUCAGAACUACAGAAUCUUGGGACAAUAAAAAUGUUUUAGGCAAAACAAAAAUCACCUAAAAGGUUUAAAAAACAAAAAAAAACUAAACCCCACCAAACCCUUCCACAGGAGAGGUACUUGGGCAGAGUACUGUUGGUAAGGGUGUGUUCUGGUAAGGGGUAAAAAUCUAAGCCUGCCAUUUGCAGAUCAAAACCUACAUGCCCUGCAUGCAGCAUUCCUAGAUCUAGCAGGUUAGCAGCUUGCCUUGGCUGCUUCCUUCUGCUGAACACAGCUCUUCAGUGCCUUCUGGGACUCCUUCUUCCUUUAAGUUUAGAUCUGUGCAUGGGCUUCUCCACAAGCCCAGCUACUGUUUUGCACACAGUCUGCUUCCUGAGAUCUUCCCCGAGCGGCUGACAUGUUCAAAGCAUCCCAGAAGCCCCUCUGCCAUCCUGUUCAUGGCCCUCAGCCUCACCGGGUGUUACGUCUUGAAGACUACUUUCAACCCUUGUUCUGCCUCAUGCUACUGGUCCUCACAGGCCCGUUUUCUCUAGGGUAACAGGUGAACAGAACUUCUCUCCCUCCCCAAAGUGUUGGAUAAACUGAAAUGAGAGAACUGGGACAGGACUUCACUGUUGCUUCCUGUAUAGGGCUGUUAAUGUUUGACAAGCUUGAUCUCCUUGACCUUCAAGGGGGUAUUUCAUUAAAGGACAGAAAGACACUCCUCCACCUCCUGCCACUAAUUAUACUACUUUGUUGAAGUAGAUACAUAGCACUUUGUUAGUAUAGCUGAGCUCCUAGAGGCUAACUGCUGCAGGAUGCAGAGGAGGAGACCCAAGACCUCAGUUGGGAAAUGUGUCAUACUGAGGCUUUCCUCCUCCUCCUUGCACUCUCCCAGCAGACAUCACAUCUGUUCAUCUUUCGGGAAAGAGCCUUGGUCACAGGGAGUUCACGAUUAGGUAUGAAAUCCACAAGGCCAAAAGCUGGGAAGGAAAGGGAUGAUGGCAUCGAAGGGCUGAAUAACCCCAUUCGAUCGGC